rnacentral:tRNA from 1 species
GGAGAGGUGGCCGAGUGGCUGAAGGCGCACGCUUGGAAAGCGUGUAUAGGGUUUUUCCCUAUCGAGGGUUCGAAUCCCUCUCUCUCCG